CGGUUGAUCCUGCCGGAGGCCACCGCUAUUGGAAUUCGAUUAAGCCAUGCGAGUCGAGAGAAUUCGGAUCUCGGCAGACGUCUCAGUAACACGCGAACAAUCUGCCCUCGAGAGGGGGAUAAGCUCGGGAAACUGAGCAUAAUACCCCAUAGGCCAUGGGUGCUGGAAUGCCCCAUGGCCGAAAUGCUCCGGCGCUCGAGGAUGAGUUUGCGGCCUAUCAGGUUGUUGGGGGUGUAACGGACCCCCAAACCUUCGACGGGUACGGGCCUUGAGAGAGGUUGCCCGGAGUUGGACUCUGAGACACGAGUCCAGGCCCUACGGGGCGCAGCAGGCGCGAAAACUUCACAAUGCGAGAAAUCGCGAUGAGGGAAUUCCAAGUGCCAGCACACUGUGCUGGCUUUUCUCCUGCCUAAAAAGCAGGUGGAGUAAGGGCUGGGUAAGACGGGUGCCAGCCGCCGCGGUAAUACCCGCAGCCCGAGUGGUGGCCGUGAUUAUUGAGCCUACAGCGUCCGUAGUCGGCCCGGUAAAUCUCUGGGUAAAUCGGGCGGCUUAACCGUCCGAAUUCCGGAGAGACUGCCGGGCUUGGGACCGGGGGAGGUCGGAGGUACUCCCGGGGUAGGGGUGAAAUCCUGUAAUCCUGGGAGGACCACCAGUGGCGAAGGCGUCCGACUAAAACGGAUCCGACGAUAAGGGACGAAGCCCUGGGGCGCAAUCUUGGGUGCAAGGCCAAGAUAAGCCUUGCACCGCGAGGCGUAAACGGGAUUAGAUACCCCGGUAGUCCAGGGUGUAAACGCUACAGGCUUGGUGUUGGGGAUCCUACGAGGAUGCCCAGUGCCGGAGAGAAGUUGUUAAGCCUGUCGCUUGGGGAGUACGGCCGCAAGGCUGAAACUUAAAGGAAUUGGCGGGGGAGCAC
rnacentral:rRNA from 1 species